UGAACUGAACUUCUGCGUCGGUGUAGGCUACACUGUAUUCUUAGAGAGGCACCUAACUUUAGUCAUGCUGUGUGACUUAUUUCAGGAGGGGAGAAAAACUAUUUUGAUUUUUUUUUUUUUAUAGAUAAAUGACACUUUCCUGCAAGUGGAGUAGAAAUAUUCUCGCUUUAAAAAAAUAUUACAGAAGAAAACUUGGCACUGAUUGUGCGUCCCGUUUUCUGAGGCCGUCAGUGAAACGUUUGACAUCUAAAAGCAGGUAAGCCACUGACUAACGCACAUUGUGCCAGUUGCCAGUUCCACUGUGCGUGUGACAGCGGCUAACCUGGUUUUGGGAGAGCCACUCUUCCGUUUCCCACCGCCAGACAGUGUCCACGAGCAGGGAAGAGACCAUGUGGGCAAUGUGCACUCAACAUGAGCUGUGUGCUCCCUGUGCACUGUAGCCCACUUCCUACUGGCCGUCACAUACUGUACUUAUUGUAUAUACUGUAUCUCUGCCUGUAGUAGCCAGCAGAUCAUCGUCUCCUCUGGCGCGUAUACGUCUUACUGCCACCUACUGUCAAGAUUAAGGGUAAUGUUGUGUGAAGUUUCUGUUUCAUUUGUGGCUUUGAACAAUGUAACCAAACAAGGACAAGAUGUGACAAGAGCUAAAAUGUGCAUAAUAUGACCUUUCUGUAUUUUGAUGAUAUUAUAUUUUGAUGAAUAAAUUCCAACUUCCUUUUAUGUAGGUGUUUUGUAAUAAUUGUUAAGUAAAACGAUGAGGAAAAAUCAACCAACGCUCAUACAACUGGUUUAGACCGGAUGUAUGUUCUCAUGAAGACUGGUUUCCAGUUUAAGGUCAGGUGUCUGCGGGUGUUCUUGAAGUGAUUCCAGGGUACUAUCUAUAGACGGUGAAGACUCAACUUUGUUCAAGAUGGAUGUAGAAAACAAAAUGAUCAUUUUGGGGUGGUUUUCUAAUCGUUAAAUGAGCCGUGCCAAACAUUGUUGUCGCUCGUAGUGUCCGUGGGGCGUGUGAAUUAAAGUUUCUACUGAAAUAAUCUGUGAUAUCAUGUAUCUUACUGUAAACGUGCAAUGUAAUGCAAUUCCUUGGUAUCAGUCAGGGAGAGUUGCAUUCCGUAUCCAUCAUGACUCAUUGUGACACAGAGGAAUAGAUGAGAGCAGUAUGUCAGACUCAUUAACUUGUGGCCCCAUUAAUCAUCACAGAGUACUGUGGAUGUGCAGACACUCACUCGCAACCAGUUUCUUUCUCGAUCACCUGCUGCCUCUGUUGCGUCUUCCAUAAAGAUGGAGUCAUGUGUUCAAUAUUCACCAGAAGUACAGUAUAGAGUUUGUGACAAGGUUUUGUGGCGGCGCGCCUCUGUAUGAGCAAAAAUAAACAUCAUCAUAAUCUGUUCAUGUCCCGUUUAUGAGAUUGGAGUUCAGAUAUGAAGUGGGCGAGGUUGGACUCAUGUGGCAAUAACUGGAAAUUGCAUGAUACAAAAAAUGUACAACACUGAGGAUCAGAAAAUAAAACUUUUGAAGCAUCA